CAGGUUAAUAUUCCUGUACUUGGUGUUACUGCGAAGGGGGGACGGAGAAGGCUAUGUUGGCCGGGCGACGGUUGUCCCGGUUUAAGCGUGUAGGCUGGUUUUCCAGGCAAAUCCGGAAAAUCAAGGCUGAGGCGUGAUGACGAGGCACUACGGUGCUGAAGCAACAAAUGCCCUGCUUCCAGGAAAAGCCUCUAAGCAUCAGGUAACAUCAAAUCGUACCCCAAACCGACACAGGUGGUCAGGUAGAGAAUACCAAGGCGCUUGAGAGAACUCGGGUGAAGGAACUAGGCAAAAUGGUGCCGUAACUUCGGGAGAAGGCACGCUGAUAUGUAGGUGAAGUCCCUCGCGGAUGGAGCUGAAAUCAGUCGAAGAUACCAGCUGGCUGCAACUGUUUAUUAAAAACACAGCACUGUGCAAACACGAAAGUGGACGUAUACGGUGUGACGCCUGCCCGGUGCCGGAAGGUUAAUUGAUGGGGUCAGCGCAAGCGAAGCUCUUGAUCGAAGCCCCGGUAAACGGCGGCCGUAACUAUAACGGUCCUAAGGUAGCGAAAUUCCUUGUCGGGUAAGUUCCGACCUGCACGAAUGGCGUAAUGAUGGCCAGGCUGUCUCCACCCGAGACUCAGUGAAAUUGAACUCGCUGUGAAGAUGCAGUGUACCCGCGGCAAGACGGAAAGACCCCGUGAACCUUUACUAUAGCUUGACACUGAACAUUGAGCCUUGAUGUGUAGGAUAGGUGGGAGGCUUAGAAGUGUGGACGCCAGUCUGCAUGGAGCCGACCUUGAAAUACCACCCUUUAAUGUUUGAUGUUCUAACGUUGACCCGUAAUCCGGGUUGCGGACAGUGUCUGGUGGGUAGUUUGACUGGGGCGGUCUCCUCCUAAAGAGUAACGGAGGAGCACGAAGGUUGGCUAAUCCUGGUCGGACAUCAGGAGGUUAGUGCAAUGGCAUAAGCCAGCUUGACUGCGAGCGUGACGGCGCGAGCAGGUGCGAAAGCAGGUCAUAGUGAUCCGGUGGUUCUGAAUGGAAGGGCCAUCGCUCAACGGAUAAAAGGUACUCCGGGGAUAACAGGCUGAUACCGCCCAAGAGUUCAUAUCGACGGCGGUGUUUGGCACCUCGAUGUCGGCUCAUCACAUCCUGGGGCUGAAGUAGGUCCCAAGGGUAUGGCUGUUCGCCAUUUAAAGUGGUACGCGAGCUGGGUUUAGAACGUCGUGAGACAGUUCGGUCCCUAUCUGCCGUGGGCGCUGGAGAACUGAGGGGGGCUGCUCCUAGUACGAGAGGACCGGAGUGGACGCAUCACUGGUGUUCGGGUUGUCAUGCCAAUGGCACUGCCCGGUAGCUAAAUGCGGAAGAGAUAAGUGCUGAAAGCAUCUAAGCACGAAACUUGCC
rnacentral:rRNA from 1 species